CCAGCUAUUUAUUAUAGUUUGUAUAUUUUGGCCCCAAAUUUGCAGUUCUUAUAUUAGUUCCUGUUUUUUACGAUAACCCUGUAAGUAACUGAUUAUUUCAAUCUCUCAAGUUUCCAGUGUUGAGGAUUGCAGCACAAUAGAGAGGCAAACUUUGUUAUUCCUGUAUUUAAUUAUAUUCCAGUAAGGUGGGAAACACUUAGCGGAAUGAGGUAUCAGUUCCGUCUUUAUUCAUUGGUCUUUCAGAUUUGAUUAAACCGAACAGAUGCUAUUGAGCUUUCUUAGCUUUGAAGUCAAUGUGUAAAAUAGCAGAGCUGUUUGAUUUCCUUUUAGCUCAGUUUUGGUUAACAUCCAUAAGAACCAAGGUCUUCCCGAAGUUUGAGAUUUUCUGCUUCAUUAACUGUGUUUGUUACAGGGAGAUUUUCAAUUAACUUGUGUCUCGAUGAUUCUCUCAGUAACAGAACAAAACAAC